GUCUUUUUGAUUAUAAUUUAAAGUCUAACCUGCCCAAUGAAUUAUUUAAUGGCCGCAGUAUUUUAACUGUGCGAAGGUAGCAUAAUAAUUAGUUUUUUAAUUGAGAACUGGUAUGAAUGGUUGGACGAGAAAAUAGCUGUCUCAGUUUAAUUUAAAUUAGAAUUUUAUUUUUAAGUUAAAAAGCUUAAAUGUAUUUAAAAGACGAGAAGACCCUAUAGAGUUUUAUAUUAUAUUGAUAUUUAAUCAGUAAAGUAUUUAUUUAUUUUAUAUUUAAUAUAUUAUUUUAUUGGGGUGAUAUAAAAAUUUAAAGAACUUUUUAUUUUUAAUAACAUUGAUAUAUGAUUAAUUGAUCCAUUAUUUAUGAUUAAAAGAUUAAAUUACCUUAGGGAUAACAGCGUAAUUUUUUUUUAGAGUUCUUAUCGAAAAAAAAGAUUGCGACCUCGAUGUUGGAUUAAA
rnacentral:rRNA from 1 species